CGGAGUUGGUCCCCCUGGGAAACCUAAAGUUUUUCGGUUGCGGGGGGAGUAUGGUCGCAAGGCUGAAACUAAAUUACCCAAUCUAGACAGUAGGAGGUGGUGAAGAGAAUUACUAAAUGGUGGUCCAAUGGAUCACUUGUUUGGAAUGAACGUAACUUAAGAAAUUCGUUGAUAAACAACUGGAGGGCAAGUCCUGGUGCCAGCAGCCGCGGUAAUUCCAGCUCCAGUAGUUUGCUUUAAAGUUGUUGCGUUUAAAACGCUCGUAGUUGGAUCACGCAGCAGUGUUCAGUUAUCUUUUGCUGCUCGCUUUCAUUUGGGUCCGUCACCGACGGCUCGAUUGCUUGCAGCGGCACUAGAUGCUAUGCUGAAUGCUGUUAGUUGCACGUGAGAUAGAUUGUUGGCCUUAAAUGAGCCGAUAUUCUUGUCUUGCGGGGUGUGCCUUGAAUAAAACAGAGUGCUUAAAGCAGGUUAUUGCCUGAAUGUUAUAGCAUGGAACGAACAAUCGUGUAUAUGUACGUGUUAUCGGAAGGCUACGAGCUUUUGGUUUGUAGCUUUCUGUGAUGCGUACGGCACCCACCAAAAUAUGGCUGUUGGUUCCAUAUACGGUGAUGAUUAACAGGAGCGGUUGGGGGCAUCGGUAUUUGGCCGCGAGAGGUGAAAUUCUUAGACCGGCCAAGGACUAACAAAUGCAAAGGCACUUGUCUAGACCGUUUCCAUUAAUCAAGAACGAAAGUGGGAGGUUCGAAGACGAUCAGAUACCGUCAUAGUUCCCACCGUAAACUAUGCCGACCUGGGAUCAGUAGCUCCAGUAGAGUGAUCUGUCAAGCCUAUCCUGCGCUUAACGAACGAGACUACGUAGUUGGAUCACAAACUAUGGUCGCAAGGCUGAAACUUAAAGGAAUUGACGGAAGGGCACCACCAGGGGUGGAGCCUGCGGCUUAAUUUGACUCAACACGGGGAAACUUACCUGGUCCGGACAUCGAAAGGAUUAACAGAUCAAUAGCUCUUUUAUGAUACGAUGAGUGGUGGUGCAUGGCCGUUCUUAGUUCGUGGAGUGAUCUGUCAGCUUAAUUGCGGUAACGAACGAGACCACAGUCUCCAUUUAAAAGAUGGAAGAAGGGGCUUGGAAGGUUGACUCCGGUCACCGGCUGAGUUCUGCAGGAAGGACCGUGUUCUUUUCGAUCAGUGCUGAUGGGUAACUUGAGGUAUUGGUUGUUGGGAGCGUGGUUUCUCCCUUCCAUUACGCAGCAGUUGGCCUCGGCUAGCUGCUGCCUUAUGGAGAGACAACGAGGUAUAAACAAGCUCGAGGAAGAGUGGCUAUAAGCAGGUCAAGUUUCUAAAUCGAAAGAUUUGGGUAAUCUUGCAAUUGUCAUCGUGAUGGGGAUCGACGUUUGUAAAUACAAAUACGUCGUGAAAGAGGAAUCCCUAGUACGUGCGAUUCAUGCAGAUCGCGCGGAUUGCGUCCCUGCCCUUUGUACACACCGCCCGUCGCUACUACCGAGUGAAUGGUGUCAUAAUACCUUGGGAGCGGACGUCGCCUGGGCCUUGUGCUUGGUGUGACGCUGCGAUCAGCGUAGAAUGGCGCAAU
rnacentral:rRNA from 1 species